GGCGGCGUGCCUAAUACAUGCAAGUAGAACGCUGAAGGAGGAGCUUGCUUCUCCGGAUGAGUUGCGAACGGGUGAGUAACGCGUAGGUAACCUGCCUGGUAGCGGGGGAUAACUAUUGGAAACGAUAGCUAAUACCGCAUAAGAGUAGAUGUUGCAUGACAUUUGCUUAAAAGGUGCAAUUGCAUCACUACCAGAUGGACCUGCGUUGUAUUAGCUAGUUGGUGGGGUAACGGCUCACCAAGGCGACGAUACAUAGCCGACCUGAGAGGGUGAUCGGCCACACUGGGACUGAGACACGGCCCAGACUCCUACGGGAGGCAGCAGUAGGGAAUCUUCGGCAAUGGACGGAAGUCUGACCGAGCAACGCCGCGUGAGUGAAGAAGGUUUUCGGAUCGUAAAGCUCUGUUGUAAGAGAAGAACGAGUGUGAGAGUGGAAAGUUCACACUGUGACG
rnacentral:rRNA from 1 species